UACGAAGGGGGCGAGCGUUGUUCGGAAUUACUGGGCGUAAAGGGUGCGUAGGCGGCCUGACAAGUCUGAUGUGAAAUCCCUGGGCUCAACCCAGGGCCUGCAUCGGAAACUGUCGGGCUUGAGUAUGGGAGAGGUGAGUGGAAUUUCCGGUGUAGCGGUGAAAUGCGUAGAUAAUCGGAAGGAACACCUGUGGCGAAAGCGGCUCACUGGACCAUUACUGACGCUGAGGCACGAAAGCUAGGGGAGCAAACAGG
rnacentral:rRNA from 1 species